AAGCAACCCAUUUUUCUCUCCCUUUUCGUUUUGCAUGAAUUUGGGGAGGAGCGAUGGCAAAUGACUUUCAACAAGGGUGGUAGUAUGUGUGGGUGCGUUCACUGAGAACAAUCGUUCCCCGAUCCCGGUUUAACUUCAAGCAAGCACUAAGCGGCUUCACCAGUAGUAGCACGUCUCGAUCCUAAAAUCCGCAAUCAUCCUCUGCUCCGAUAACUUGGGGCCAAAUUCCUUGGGAAUAACCCGCUUCCUAAAAAACAAACAAACAAACAAACAAACAACCCAAACAACAACAAAACGGGUUGCAUUUCCGCGUCCAAACGGGGGCGUUAUGGGUUCCUUCCCGCCUCCGGGAUGCCCAGGCCCGGCUCGCACUCUCGCAUUUCCCAGACGGCGGUUGCCCGCGUCCCGAGCCAGCUUUUGUGUGCAGCGUUUGCUCCCCGCCACUAGGACUCCAAGGCACACGGUGGCGACGAGGAAUCUAAGUCAAUACUCGCUAAAGUUCUCAAAGGCACUUCAACCCCGCCUCCACGGCAGGCGCCAUCCCACCGGGAAGCAGCAACGGAGACACCGUAGUUUCCGCCAUUCCGUCUUUCCCCUGCACUUUGGGUUUUUCUCAGAGCAACGCUCACCGGCGGGACCAGCCACCGAGAGUCCCUCUGUCCGCGCCGCAGCGCUCACUCCCGCAGCCGGGGACGCGGGCAGCACAGAGCCCGGGUCCCCCUCUCCCGCCGCAGCGACUCCGGCCUCUCUGGCCUGUACCGUCUCGAUGGUAUGGCGCGGCCGCAGGC
rnacentral:lncRNA from 1 species